UACGAAGGGUGCAAGCGUUACUCGGAAUUACUGGGCGUAAAGCGUGCGUAGGUGGUUCGUUAAGUCUGAUGUGAAAGCCCUGGGCUCAACCUGGGAAUGGCAUUGGAUACUGGCGGGCUAGAGUGCGGUAGAGGGCAGUGGAAUUCCCGGUGUAGCAGUGAAAUGCGUAGAGAUCGGGAGGAACAUCUGUGGCGAAGGCGACUGCCUGGACCAGCACUGACACUGAGGCGCGAAAGCGUGGGGAGCAAACAGG
rnacentral:rRNA from 1 species